UCCAACCCAAAGUCACAAUAAGAACAGUUUGAACAAGCACCUUGGAGGGAACGGAAAGACAAAAACUCUAUCCCUUACUCCCCAAACCCAGCCAAGGACUUACUUUGUGCCAGAUCUUAACUACUUGCUGAGGAUGUGGAAAUGUACAAGGCAUGACUUCUGGUCAGCAGAUGUGGUGGAGAGGACAAACCCAAAAAUCAAAUGCCGUGUGUAAUGCACUGUAGCGUAUACAUGUGUACAUUGCGUGUGGAAAGUCAGCCUGGGAGGGAAGAACCUCCAUCCUUUCUCUGAAAAAGCACACAUCUGAGCUGGUUUUGAAGGAUUAGAAGAAGUGAAUGGGAAACGCAUGAGUGUCUGUUGAGGACAGACAGAUAAACUCUACAUGUAGGGGUAUGGAGAGCCAAAAGAUUAGUAUCAAGCAAAAGCAAAUUACUGUUUAUGGAGAACAGAGUUACAACAAUACCAGAGUCUGGCAUCUGGUGGUUCUUCCUGUCCGAUACCCACACUUCUCUCUGAAAAACAUUCUGAUUGUCCCUUAGGCCCCACUCUUUUCUCAUUUUCGGUCCCUGUGGUCUGGGUGUGAUGAACCCCACCCCAACCCUAGUUCCAAGAGUUGUCAUGAUGCCUGCAGUCAUGACCUCACAGCAUUCCAUGCACCUGGAGCCUGGAUACAGUGAUGCCUUCAGGCGCGGUAUGCCAUCACAGGCAACUCAGGAACACCUCUCCAGCCCCAGGACUUCUGCUGGAACUGCUGGGAGUUAGAAGGUUUCUUCCCAUGGAGGGGCAAACUUUCUAGGUAUCUGAAGAUGUUGAAGACCAUUUCCUGGAACCACAGCGAGAGCUUGUGGAAUGGAAUGACUCUCUAGAGUUGCAGACUGAAGGUGUAUUUUCAUCUGACUUUGGUGAUUGUGUUUCUAAUCUCUGUGGGAAUAAGGUGUGCUUGGGGUGAGGAUGGGCAAAUGUAGAACUCGCUAAACUGCCCAGUCACAUGGAGUUGCAUCUUAUUUAAAACUCAGCCAUUGCCACCCCCCUCGGGGAAUCUCUGACUUCAGUUUGAGUGUUCAGUGAAGCCUUAUGAAAAGAGGGCUCAAUCUCUAAAGUUUACAUCGAAGCUGAAUACACCCAGCAUCAAAUUAUUCCCAAAAAAGCCUCUUUAAAUCGAAACCUCCCAUAAAGAUGGUGAAGUUCUGUA